AUCCCCUGCAGGUAAAAUGAGAAUUGCAGCUUCCCCUGGCAGGUGUUUUAGUGACACAAUUUUUGGAUAAAAUAGGAAGUAGAGUUUGUUUCAGAGCCUUGAAAAUAAUUGCAUCUUAAAAGAAGAGAAUUGCAACUAAGGCUUUUAAGGAACUCAAGUCAGACCACAUCUUUAAUAAAUUAAAUCAACUGCAGAGCUCCUGAACUAAUUGUUUUAAAUGCAUCCUCUCUGCUUUAUUUGGAGGCUCUGGACUCUGGGCCCCACCAAUGUCUGUCACAGAUUCUUUGCUUGCUGGCACUGCAGCCCAGGAAGAGGUGGAGACAGACAGAUGGUCUUGGAUCAACUUAAACACCACAAAAAUUAAUAAUGUGCUCCUACAUUUCCUGAGAUAUAAGAAAGGAAGACGACCAAGAUGCUCAACAGUGCCACAUCAUACUCCCCAAAUCUUGCUGAAGCAGGAACUGGCAAAUGCAGCUUAAUGAAUCAAGUGUCAUCAGGAAAAAUGAACAUGUCUGUCACAGAACUUUAUGCCCACAAUAUUUCCAGCUUCAAGCCACUGCAAAGAAAAGGAGGAUGGCUAGCUCCAAAGCAGUAUGAAUGUCUCAAGUCCGUCAGAGAUGGAGGACGAAGCUGUCAUCGGGACAUCCUAUGAACUCUUUCCUGUUAAAAGGCCUCUCCCCCAGUUCUAGAUGUUAACCCUGUUUUCAGGAAUACAUUAUGACUAAAUAAUAUCAGCACACAAAAGGCAUUAUUUCCAGGAACUUUCUUUUCUUUUUAUG
rnacentral:lncRNA from 1 species